GUACUGCUGAAGAGUCCCAAACUAAUCAGACGAAACGACUGUCUAUCAGUAC
rnacentral:hammerhead_ribozyme from 1 species